rnacentral:rRNA from 1 species
UACGGAGGGGACUAGCGUUGUUCGGAAUUACUGGGCGUAAAGCGCACGUAGGCGGAUUGUUUAGUCAGGGGUGAAAUCCCGAGGCUCAACCUCGGAACUGCCUUUGAUACUGGCAAUCUCGAGUCCGGAAGAGGUGAGUGGAAUUCCUAGUGUAGAGGUGAAAUUCGUAGAUAUUAGGAAGAACACCAGUGGCGAAGGCGGCUCACUGGUCCGGUACUGACGCUGAGGUGCGAAAGCGUGGGGAGCAAACAGG